GCCUGGUGGAGGCUGGCAAUUUCAGAAGGGAACUGGUGGGUGGGAUUUAUGCAAGAGGCAGGGAACACAACUAGGAAAAUUGUCAAUGUGGAUGGAGGCAGCAAACCAUUGAGUCCAAAUACAGGCUUGAGAGACCUGGGUUUGAAUUCUGGUUCUGCCACAUACUGGCUGUGUGACCUUGGGCAAGUUACACCCCCGCACUGAGCUUCAGUUUGCUCAUCUGUGAGAUGGGAGUAAUCAUAGUUCCUAUCUCGUAGGGUUGCUUGCAAUGACUCAAUGAGGCAAAUUCUUAGGAGGCUCUAGUAUAGGGCUUGGCAAAAGUAACCACUUAAUAAAUGGUAGCUAUGAUGAUGAUAACGUUGGCCAAAGUCCCCAGUAUUUAGGGACUUGGAGAUUUUGCUAAUGAAGAAAUGAAGGCUGACAGAAAUAAAGCCAGUAAUUCAUAUGAUUGAAAAAUUUAAAAACAAGAGUAUGCUAGAAUAGUCAGUGAAAAUUGUCCCUUCUGCCUGGAACAUUUCCUUUUCACAGACAGCCAUUGUUACGUGUUUCUUCUUUAUCUUUGCAGAAUUUCAGGAACCAGGCAAUAUUCCAGACACACAUGACAUCAGUAACAUCCAUAUGUCUGUGAUGGGGUAGGAGAGAAGACUACUUUUCAGAACUUCUCAUCAUCUUCAUGCUACAUAUCUCUGUUUCUUGUGUAUCUCCCUCCUCCAUGUGGAUGGGGGUUUCCAGAACCGAGCCUGGUAUGGAGCAGGCGGU
rnacentral:lncRNA from 10 species